rfam:Cryptococcus amylolentus CBS 6039 supercont1.9, whole genome shotgun sequence.
GCGCUAAUCGUCUAGUGGUUAGGAUGGAUCCCUUCCAAGGAUUCGACCGGCGUUCGAAUCGCCGUUGGCGCA